GUAAAAUUCCCCAAAAAGUUUCUUUUGCACGUUGGAAUUCUAUAUGAUGAUCGAAUAGAAUGCAAACUAUCAGGACCAGGAGCUGACUAUGGGGGGACAAAGCAAAUUACUACAUCGGGAAGUAAAUGCGUAUCGUGGCAUAAACAUCAUCUUGAGGCUGCCAAGGGCCUGAAAUUCGAGGAUCGGGUUUUCUCAGAUAGAUCACGCAGAAAGGCUGAAAAUUACUGUAGAAAUCCUACUGGAGAUGUCGGAGGGCCGUGGUGUUACGUCGAAGAAGAAGGUUUCGAAUAUUUUCAGAAAGAGUAUUGCGAUGUCCCAUUUUGCGACGAUAGAGAUUGUUUAAUAUUUACGAAGAAUUCAACUAGUCACCCUAUACUCACAAAAUUGCGCGCAGCCAGUGGUAACACUUCAUUUUGGUUCAAACUGUGGAAUCCAGAUGAUGAA